rnacentral:lncRNA from 1 species
UUUUCUUCCAGAGCCAAGUAAUCUAAGAAAGGCAGAAUGACAGCUAGCCUGGGAAAUGGAAUAACAUCACUUCUGUCACAUUCCAUUGGCCAAACAUAUCAAACUUGAUACAGCAUGAGAGGGGACUGUACAAGAAUGUGGAUACCAGGAAAUGAGGAUCAGUGGGCACCAGCUUGGAGGCUGACAACAACAGGCUUUCAUUUGGUCUCUUUUCGAAUCAGAAGACCCAGAAAACUUGGAUCCACUUCUGGCUCUCAUCCCUCUGGGCAGUGUGAUUUGGAAUAUCAGGUGGCUUCUUCAAAUGAAUUUUUAAGUAUCUCGAUGAUGAUGAAGAACAAAGACAUCAAUCAGGAUUCAGGAAGACAGCUUUUGCGGAAAAUGCUUAAAGGGAAGCAUCAAGGAUUGGUGUUGAUAUUUGAAAGUUUAAGAGUGGUAUACUUUUAUUCAGUCAACACAUGCCAAAUGUAAAAGGCACUCAUUUGUUGUUCCUGGAAGAAGCCUGGCAGCAUUCCAUUCAGACAUCUGCCCUUUCAUCGUCCCACUUUUUACUUAUUGCAGUCCUUUCAGUCUGAAUAUUUCCUCCUGACGCAUCUUCUGCCGUCCGAAAUGACUCCCUGCUCCCGGAUCCUGUAGCCCUUAUUAUUGACACCUUUCAUUUAG